rnacentral:rRNA from 1 species
GGAGUCUGGUCCGUGUCUCAGUACCAGUGUGGGGGACCUUCCUCUCAGAACCCCUACUGAUCGUUGCCCCGGUGGGCCGUUACCCCGCCGGCAAGCUAAUCAGACGCAUCCCCAUCCCUUACCGAUGAAUCUUUGCUCCUCAUCUGAUGCCAUCAAAGGAGAACAUAGAGUAUUAAUCCGACUUUCGCCGGGCUGUCCUCUACUAAGGGGAAGGUUGGAUACGCGUUACUCACCCGUGCGCCGGUCGCCGACAAAGAAAGCAAGCUUUCUUCUCGCUGCCCCUCGACUUGCAUGUGUUAAGCCUGUAGCUAGCGUUCAUC